rnacentral:rRNA from 1 species
CCGAGGAUCUUCCGCAAUGGUCGAAAGACUGACGGAGCGACGCCGCGUGGAGGAUGAAGGCCUUCGGGUUGUAAACUCCUGUCACGGGUUAGGAAUGACCGUGCGUUAAUAGUGUGCGGUUUGACAAAGGCCCGAGAGGAAGCCACGGCUAACUCUGUGCCAGCAGCCGCGGUAAUACAGAGGUGGCAAGCGUUGCUCGGAAUUACUGGGCAUAAAGGGCGUCUAGGCGGAGCAGCAAGUCGGCUGUGAAAUCCCUCGGCUUACCCGAGGAAGUGCAGCCGAUACUGCUGUUCUUGAGGACGAGAGGGGAGAGUGGAACUCCUGGUGGAGCGGUGAAAUGCGUAGAUAUCAGGAGGAACGCCGGUGGCGAAAGCGACUCUCUGGCUCGUUCCUGACGCUGAAGCGCGAAAGCUAGGGGAGCGAACGGGAUUAGAUACCCCGGUAGUCCUAGCCGUAAACGAUGAGCACUAAGUAGUGGCA